UGUUUGUGCCUUCCCCCCCCCCCCCCGCCAGCGCUGCCCCUGCGCGGGGCGCCGGGACGGAGCCCGCAGGCCGGGUGAGUCGGGGUCCCCCGGCCCGCCUGGCUGCGGCAGGAUCUGGCUCACGGUCCCCGGUAACUCAAGCGGCCACCGGCCGGCUCCGCCGCGCGGCUGGGGCCCCCGUCCCGCCGCGGGGCCCGCACCGGGCUGGUGCGGCUCAGCCGCCCGCCUCCCUGCGGGCCGGGGCGGGCCUCGCUCUGCGGCGGGGGUGGCUGGGCCCAGCACAGCAGCACGCAGCCCUGCUCCGCUCGGCCCCUCGGGGAGCAGGGAUAGCGAUCGCGACAGAAUUACCGCGCCUCGAGCAGUCGUUACUUUUGGAAUCUGGCCUCAAUAUCGGGGCUAAUGCCCCAGCUGCUGCAAAUUCCUUGGGGAAUGACUGUGCUCCGUAAGGCUCAGGAGAUCCGGGGCUUGCCUGCUCCCAAGGCUUACCUACCAACACCGGGACACUUCAGGACCGGUAGUUUACUCACAGAUGUCAAUGCAGAGCUAAAAAGAUUUUGCUGUGGAAUCGGCAACCAAAUUGUGGCACAUCCCAAUAUACCUUACACAAUCAGCCUGCCCUCCGAUACUCUGCCGCUGUUCCCUGGGCUAGCCCUGACUCCAGGGAAAACAAAGAAUGUCUCGGACAGAGAUUAAAAAAGUGCUGAGAGAAUAUGAAAUAAAUCUGUGUGCUCAUACUUUCUGUUCACAUCCUCAUAAAUCCAGAUGCUUGCACGUUUGAUUGUCUCACCAAUGCGGUGAUGUUGCAAGCUCAUGAAGGCAGAUCAAGAGAAGUGGGAAUAAGAAACAAGCAGACCCUCUCAGGCAUUUUGUAUUAACUCCUCACUGUGAGGAAACCAAUACAAAACAGAGCAGCGUUCAGCAGGUUGGACCCGUGAAAGCUAGAAUUCUCAAGUCAGCAUACAUCAGAAUACACAGGGGGAAACUUUAGUCUGAUCUUGUUCUUGCCAGUUGAAAGUCUGUGCUUUUGUAAUCGGAAACAAAGAUGAUCUAACUUCCCUAUGUUUGUUCUGAUUCCUCUGGAAAGAAAAUAAGAAUCUCCUUAUACUAGCAAUCUUCCUCCAUGUGAUUCUUUGCUUGGAAAAGUAGACAUUUUGCUGCUGCAAACUGAAAUUAGAACCUUGAGUUGUAUGCAGCUGUAGUCAAAUCUCAUUAGCCAAAGCAAAACACUAGUCCUGAAUAAGCAUUUAGCUGUCUGGGUACAGAGAUGGAUCAGCAGGUUGGCUCAUCUCGUUGUGCUAGACCUUGUCAUUUCUGGAAUUAGCAGCAGCCCUCUGCAUAAAUCACUUUGGCUGUCCCAUGCCAUGGAAGAAGGGAUCUGGUAUUUUGGAGUACAUUGUGUUGUGAAUGCUACUCUGCACCACCGGUGCAAUGACAGCCCACCACAAGGCAGAUGCUGGAGGGAUUCUGAAUGUGCAGUUCUAGCUGGGCACCUCUUGGAGAUGAGCGAGGAAGCAAACCCGAGUACUGGCCAUCAAAGCCUAGAAAUUCUUAGGGUUCACAGAACCCACCUCAGAGAGACCAUUUUCAUGGAGGCAGAUAUAAAGAAGCUUCGCUGGUAAUUCAACUGUGUAAUGCAGUGAGUAAAUAAAGAGCAAUGCCAUACGGAA